rnacentral:lncRNA from 1 species
CACUAUAAACCUUGGUCACCGCAUCAGCCAUAAUUAUGUCGGGUCGCUACUGAACCCUGCUGCAGUGUCUUAAUCUUGGGGCCUUGAGACAACUCUUCAACGUGGGAAUCGAACCUGAGCUCAGAAGGUGGAAUGAAGCAGUCCAUAGACAAACCAGGGACAUUGAACGCAAUCUCAUCGAUCACCCACGCUUCUUGCAUUGUGGUCUUAGUGUUAUGCCCCGACGACAUAUCUCCAAACCUCAGUAGCGUCGCCACUGAUCUACCGGAGUGAGCUAUCACAAUCCCUUCCACAGGCUUGUAGUCUUCUAAGUACGAGUUGAUAGUCGUCUCCCAGUAAACCGCUUCGCCUCCUAUGUUCUGGAUCCUGGUUAGCUGCGAGUCUUCUAAGUGAACAAGAAGACCGGUCUUUUGGCUGAAGUAACCGAACAGAGUAUGUCUUAUAGUCUCUGAUGCACCUUCGCUUCUAGCUUUGAGUGUUGCCGGGUCUGCACAUAGCUUGAGGAUAAAACAGUCUUCUCCAUCGAUCUUUUUCUCUCCUAUGCAUCUUGCACUCGCAAACAUAUUCGCUGUUGUUCUCGGAUCAAGCCCCUGAAAACACACAAUUUAAUCAUUUAAUCCAAAAAACAAAACAGCAUGAGCUUAUGGCUUUUACCUGAAGAGCGCGUCGCAACGGUCUAACGGGUCCUUUAGCAGCAUGAGGGCCAAGCCACGGUGUGUGUCUCCACACAAGCUUCCCGUCACAACCUGCUAAGACCUUACUCCCACCAAGAACAAGCUCCAUGUACCACAUGUCAGGACUCAUAUGCCACAACACAAACCCUCCAGACUCAACAGCUUUCGACGAAUUGCUCUUACUCUUUGAACCUUUGGAGCCAGUCUCAAACUCAGACGCCACCGUCCUGAUUCUCCCCAUCACGUAACCGUUUUGCACUGAGCUGUGAAGCUUAUAACCACCUGACGCAGCCGUGUACUGCUGGAGAAUGUACUGCGCAGAGGAGGUUUCCUGAAACACACAGUAGAUUUUUUGUCAAGAUCCAAUAAUGGGCCUCGGAGGCCCAAUAAUCUUAUAACAAACAGUGAAUUAGAAGUUAGAAGCUCACCAUGGGAGUGUUCUUGAUGCUGAGGUGAGGAAGGAGAUCCAGAGCGCUGACGUGGACAGGACCUAGCGGCGCGCCGAGGACGCCGAGGAGGAGCCUCAGAUCCGUGCGUUUGAAGCCGGAGGAGGAGGAAACAGACGGCGGAGCAACCGGGAGCUGACAUUUCAUCCAAUUGUACCACCGCCUCUCGAGCCUCGAGUAGUCUCCGCUGCUCCCGGAGUCUUCUCCGUCCGGAUCGGGACCUUCUAUGACCGGAGGAAGCAUCUCGGACACGUGGCGGUCAGGUUGGGAGACGUAGCGGCCUUUGCGGCGGCGGAUGAUGAUGGGAGAGACGGCUCUGACGGGGCUCUUGGAGCGUGAUCGGCGGGAAUGUGACUUGGAGAACAAGCCGUGCUUCUUAUCCAUAGCUUUGAAGGAGGAGGAAGUGUUAGUGGGAGAGACGGAGAGAGGAAGGAGGUUUGGUGGUAAAAGCUUUGAGGAAAGGGAAGGAGAAGUGUUGCGUUGAAGGGAAGGUUGCAUAUAAAUUCUCCAACUUAAUUCAUUUAUUUAAUUUAAGGUAAUUAGCAAUUUCAGAUUGUUUUUUUUUUUGGCUUUUAUUUAAGGUUGCAAAUCACAGAAAAUAUGAAUUAUUUUUUUAUUGAAAAAGGGAAAAUAUGAAUUCUUAUAUUGCAUAAAACAAGUGUUGUCUUCUUCUUUCUUUUCUUUUAGCAACUACAAUUGUUGUCUUCUUUCUCUCAUGUCUACAUAUAGUUCCUCAUUGGACAAUAGGAAAAAAGUGAGAGAGGAAGAAUGUGUUUGCCUGUUUGCUCUAAAUCCCUCAAGUGUUGUGCACAAAAAAAAAUGCUAAUCUACCUGCGAACAAAUUUAUGAUAAUUCAUUUACCAUUUGUAAAAAUGAUGUCAACAAAUGGAUAACUCGGUUUGGAUAGUUUAGGAGCAAAGACAAAUCAUACGUUGGUUGUUGAUAAUAUAAACAUGGGUUGGUUUAUUUAUGCUACAAUUGAUACAAGGGUACUAUUCAUCAAAUCCGGUCAUAUCACUACACUGCAUUGAAACAACGCUAGUUAGGUGAAAGAAACAACAUUUUGUACUACAUGCUUGCUUCUGUCAUUGUAUUUGAAACUAUAUUUUAUCAAAAUGAAACUGGACUGACUUCCUAAGUUGAUAAUGAAAAAUAGCCCUCGAAUAGAGACUACACAAUUCCUCUUACAUUAUGCAGCAAAGACUAGUAUACUCUCCUGCGCUCUAUUUACAUCUUCUUCAACCAAACUUCCUACAAGAAUUUGGCUUCAACAAUAAUAGCAAACUAGAAGAAUAAAUCCAUCUAAAGAUUUCAUUUGAAUGUUCUUUAUACACAUUGAUCUCCUGCACCCCCAACUUCACUAUAAACCUGGCAUCAGCCAUAAUUAUGUCGGGUAGCUACUGAACCAUGCUGCAAUGUCUUAAUCUUGGGGCCUUGAGACAACUCUUCAACGUGGGAAUCGAACCUGAGUUCAGAAGGUGGAAUGAAGCAGUCCAUAGACAAACCAGGGACAUUGAACGCAAUCUCAUCGAUCACCCACGCUUCUUGCAUUGUGGUCUUAGUGUUAUGCCCCGACGACAUAUCUCCAAACCUUAGUAGCGUCGCCACUGAUCUACCGGAGUGAGCUAUCACAAU